rnacentral:rRNA from 1 species
UACGUAGGGUGCGAGCGUUAAUCGGAAUUACUGGGCGUAAAGCGUGCGCAGGCGGUUUUGCAAGCCGGAUGUGAAAUCCCCGGGCUCAACCUGGGAAUGGCAUUCGGGACUGCAAGGCUGGAGUGCGGCAGAGGAGACUGGAAUUCCUGGUGUAGCAGUGAAAUGCGUAGAUAUCGGGAGGAAUACCGAUGGCGAAGGCAGGUCUCUGGGCUGACACUGACGCUCAUGCACGAAAGCGUGGGGAGCAAACAGG